UACGGGGGGGGCAAGCGUUGUUCGGAAUUACUGGGCGUAAAGGGCUCGUAGGCGGCCAACUAAGUCAGACGUGAAAUCCCCAGGCUCAACCUGGGAACUGCGUCUGAUACUGGUUGGCUUGAAUCCGGGAGAGGGAUGCAGAAUUCCAGGUGUAACGGUGAAAUGCGUAGAUAUCUGGAGGAAUACCGGUGGCGAAGGCGGCAUCCUGGACCGGCAUUGACGCUGAGGAGCGAAAGCUAGGGGAGCAAACGGG
rnacentral:rRNA from 1 species